rnacentral:rRNA from 1 species
GAUGAACGCUGGCGGCGUGCCUAAUACAUGCAAGUCGAACGCUUCACUUCGGUGAAGAGUGGCGAACGGGUGAGUAAUACAUAAGUAACCUGGCAUCUACAGGGGGAUAACUGAUGGAAACGUCAACUAAGACCGCAUAGGUGUAGAGAUCGCAUGAACUCUAUAUGAAAAGUGCUACGGGACUGGUAGAUGAUGGACUUAUGGCGCAUUAGCUGGUUGGUAGGGUAACGGCCUACCAAGGCGACGAUGCGUAGCCGACCUGAGAGGGUGACCGGCCACACUGGGACUGAGACACGGCCCAGACUCCUACGGGAGGCAGCAGUAGGGAAUUUUCGGCAAUGGGGGAAACCCUGACCGAGCAACGCCGCGUGAAGGAAGAAGUAAUUCGUUAUGUAAACUUCUGUCAUAGAGGAAGAACGGUGGAUAUAGGGAAUGAUAUCCAAGUGACG